rnacentral:rRNA from 1 species
CAGCCGCCGCGGGAAUACGUAGGGCGCAAGCGUUAUCCGGAAUUAUUGGGCGUAAAGAGCUCGUAGGCGGUUUGUCGCGUCUGCCGUGAAAGUCCGGGGCUCAACCCCGGAUCUGCGGUGGGUACGGGCAGACUAGAGUGAUGUAGGGGAGACUGGAAUUCCUGGUGUAGCGGUGAAAUGCGCAGAUAUCAGGAGGAACACCGAUGGCGAAGGCAGGUCUCUGGGCAUUAACUGACGCUGAGGAGCGAAAGCAUGGGGAGCGAACAGGAUUAGAUACCCCGGUAGUCCCUGUCUCUUAUAA